CGGUUAUACAAAAAUUAAAUUAAAUUAUUUCAGUGAUAUAAUAAAUAAAAUUAUAAUUAAAUUAAAUAUUAAAUUAUUAGGUAAAAUUUUAAUUUAAUUAAAUUUUUUAAAAAAUUAUGAUUUAAUAAAUUUAACAAUAAACUAGGAUUAGAUACCCUAUUAUUAAAAAUUUAAAUUGUAAAUACUAAAAUAGUAAAUAAUAAAUAUUGAAACUUAAAUAAUAUGGCGGUAUUUUAGUUCAUUUAGAGGAAUCUGUCUAAUAAUUGAUAAUCCACGAAUAAAUUUACUUAAUUUAAGAUUUUAUAUAUCGUUGUUAUAAAAAUAUUUUUUAGUAAAAAUAAUAUUUAAAAAUUAAUAUAAAAAAUUAAUUCAGAUCAAGAUGUAGAAUAUAAUUAAGAAUAUGAUGGAUUACAAUAAAAUAAUUUAUAUGAAUAAUUAAAUUGUAAAAUUAAUUUGAAGGUGGAUUUAAAUGUAAUUUUAAUUAAUUUAUUAAAAUGAUUAAAAAUUAAAAUAUGUACAUAUUGCCCGUCACUUUCAUUUUAAAAUUGAAAUAAGUCG
rnacentral:rRNA from 1 species